GUACUACUAUAUAAGAAGCGCUUUGAGCUUUGGAUGAGCACACUGCAAAACCAAGUUCUAAACUUUCAUCACAAACACUAGCUUGCAACACAUUAAAGGGUGCAGAGAAUUACUUAUCAGAGAUGGAGAGUUCCACAGCCAAUGCCACUUCCAGGAGAAUGGUGAACGCCGGAGACUUUUCGCCUAUUCCGAAGAGGGGUCAAGUGAAGAUAGGGAUAGUGGUAGGAUUAGCAAACUCAGUUGCUUCCAUCUUCACUCCUCAGCGUCCAUCAAUGUACAAGCAGCAUUCUUCUAGUUAACUCGUAACUAUUGGGAAUAGUACGUGCUUGUGUUGUGAAGAUGCCUAGCCGCAGAUAGCUUUUGCCUCUUGAUUUUCCAUUCUUUUUUAUUUCGGAAAAGAUUUGAGCUUCAUGUACUGGAUCUUAAAGAGUUUGUAUAUUGUAGAUUUUUGCAUCAGAUAUGAAAUGGAGUCUGUAUUCUAUCUCUUUUGUUCACAACUUGGCUAGGAUCGGUACUCAAUCUCAAUUAAUUAACCUCUACGAUUAAGAAGCAUUUCAAGCUAAUUAAUUGAAACUGGAACCCCAAAAGAACAAGUUUAUCAAAUUAAAGUCGUUUGUCGUCUCAAAUCGGCCGUCACAUAGGAGCUAAUAUUGCCUACUCGACUAGCUAGGCAUUGGGUAGAAUAUGCAAUACUGUCAAAGGCAAAAGAACACUGUAAACUCGAUCAGAGAACUUUCUAUAAUUUGUAUGCAAGUAAUGUAACAGAGGGAGCGUAGUCAUUGUUUGAGCCCAGUGGGUAUUUUGGUCCAAGACUCGGGGUACGUUUUAGAUAACAUUUGGGCCAGUACCUGUGGCCCUUUUUUAAUGCGAAGCCCACGAAGGGUGGCGAGGUCUGGCAACACGCGAGCUGGAGUUUUGCAAGGAUUCUGAUACCCCGCGGGAUUCGAUGUCCUCGCGAGGUCCUUUGUUUCAGUUCGUGUAGGAUUUUGCAGUGCAUGGUGAGGUAGAGUUGGAAAUGGACUGUAGUACUCCGCGGGAUAGGAUCGCUUAGUGUUCGAGUUCGCGUACGACGCUACAGUGAGAUGAUGCGGAGCGGUGAGCGAGACCUAGGCGAGAUCUGUUCUGGACAUGUGUUGCAUGGACCGCGCGGCUCGCGAGCUGGUCCUAUCCUUGUGGAAUUCUAAUUGGUGAGUCCGAGUGGGUUGUGAUUAGGUCUCUGCGAAUUGCUUGCGGAUCGCUAUAUAAAGGAGUUCGAGCAGACCUUCUAACACACACAAUCAAAUCAUACAAAACAAUUACAAAUCCUCGAGCAUCCUCAAAACCCUAAGUUCUAAGUGCACUUCGCCUUAGUUCUCAGACCCCUCCCUGAUUCGCCUUUCUCCCUAUUUGUUGCUCUGCUCGCUCUAACAGUGAGUAUCGAUUCACAAGUGACAAGAGGUUUUACUCGUAAUCCCUCGUCCGCGAGGUGGCACCGGUAACCCCUUCUUCGCUUGUUUAGAAGUCUAGCCGCAGCGCAUUUCUUUCCUCGUCCACGAGGUGGCACGCCCCGCAAUCUCCUUUUUAACUUUUGAGUCACCGGAGUUCCGACUCUGCCCCUGUUAAGACGCGUGGCCAAAACAGUCAUCAUCAGACAUUCAGACUCAUGGACCAAUGUCCACACGACAUUGAUCAAUAUAUUCAAGCCUCACCGUCCAAACUGAUGGGAGAGACUAGUACGAGUUAAUGUUGAUCACAUCAUUAUGUUUCAUAAAAGGCAUAAAUGGCCUUUUAUUUAAUAUCAUCAACCAAACCCUAAUAUCAUAAUCCCACACUGCUUAGAUCCGAAUCUAUGCCUAUUUAACACCAUCAAACAUAAUUUUCAACAUGUGUAGAUCUUGGGAAGAAGUACAUGCAUGAACCUCAUUAGUCCUUUUCAGUACAAUUUAAAUUCAAUGAAUGUUGGUUUCAUCAUGUACCUUUGAAAUUAUAACAUAUGGUCCUAACUAAUUAUUCAAUUCAAAUAAAACUUUCUGAUUGUGAAGUGUUUUAAGAUCACACUCUUUCUCAUGUUUUUCUUUAAAUUAAUUCCCGUCCUCCACUCUCNGAAAUACAGCCAUAUAUAUAUAUAUAUAUAUAUAUAUAUAUAUAUAUAUANNNNNNNNNNNNNNNNNNNNUAAAGUAAGUCACUCCCUUCACUAAACAAAGAAAGGUUCUUCUAAACAGAGAUUACAAGAUCUUCUAAGAUUAGUGAAGGCUAUUUGAGUUUGUUCACCUUAAGUAUAAAUUAAGUAUAUAAUUGCAUGAAAUAUCCCAACUUUUACUAAUCACAUUGGAACAUUGGCUCAUAAAGAAUUGGCUUCUUUGAUCAAAAUAAUUGGCUUCUUUUUUGUAGUGGGAUGGAGCUUUAUGAGCAUGUGACUAAUUAGGUGGAUUUGUUCAUACUUCAUAGCAUGUAGGAACCAAGAAUUUAAAAGGGUUAAAACUGCCCUACUUCAGUUCUUUAACUUGAUUAACUAAACAUCUCUUAUAAUUAGGUGUGCUAAUCAUCUGUUUGUUUAUAAAUACAUAAACUAGUAUGCCUUCAGAUACCAAAUUAACCCUAGCUAGUUUGAUAUAUAGCUGAUAGUUUUAUUAGACCAGUCUAGAAAUGUGAUGUACUAAUGAAAUUGUAGCAAGUAAACUCAACAGCUGGCUAGCUAGGUCAAUAAUCAAAAUUGAAUUGCCAACUGAAAAUCAAAUUCCAUGAGCAAAGACUUGAGAAUGAGACUGUUUUUCCUUUCUCAUUACUUUUUGAACCCCUUUCUCAUAUUUGGUUAGUGUAAUUGAUUAACUUAAUUGUGCCCUAUGUGCUGCAUAUGAACCAUGCUCCCUCAAUAAUUGCACACACAUCUAUUAUUAAACUAAGUAUCAGGUUCAAUUAGCAGCCUUAAUUUUGUUCAUAAUCUAAAUCAUUAGAUACGAUUUGUUCCCUUAAACACAAUCUGACAUGAUAAAUUAUAAUACUGUGUGCAUUAGGCUCAUACAUGAAAGUACAAUGAAUCAAGGUGCUUCCUCUAUCAGAGUCGGUGAAUGGUAUUGGCAUUGCUCCAUAAUUGUACUUGAUGAGAAUAAUAUGAACGAUGGGAUAAACACAAACUUAGAUAACUAGCAUUUCAUGUCAAUAAUUUUUCUUCUAUUCUUAUACUUGUUUUCUAACACAUAAGAAAAUGCGAUACGCUAAUAAUAUAGAAGAUUAAAUUAGUUCUGUAAAAUUAUUAGAAGAUAAGAACACUAGCUAAUUGUCUAUAAGUUCGAUAAAAAAUCAUUGUAUAGUUAAUUUAACAAAUCAAACAUAGAAAUGAAUGAUUUUAGAUCGUCGAAGUAAAACAAUAAAUUCAAACUUCUUAUCUCUCUAUCACAUCAUAUCAAUUUUAGAGAAGACGUGGGCAUGAAGAAAGAAAGAAACAAAGAAGGUUUGGUCCAUGCCAGAUCCAGAGCUAGCUUUGGCCCUUUGGGAAAAAGAUGCGCUAACAAACAAAAGAGCUGCCUCUGGGAAUCUGGAUAGGAGUGCUCAGUCAAUGAGUAAGAUAGUUCUUGUUAUAAGAACCAAUUUGACCACGUGCUUAAUUUGGUAUAGUUAUCCCACUAACAAUUUUCAUGAUUAAAAGUUGUUGCGGUUAUUGUUGGGAGAGUGACUUUCCAAGGUCAAGUCGCCCUGAAGAUAAGCUUUUCCGGUUGCGAAUUCAAGGUGAAAGCCUUGGCAUUUUAUAAUGGAAACCCGACAAGACCCACAGUGUUCACAUAGAACGUGAACUUUGGGAGAGUCAAGAUUGUCUUGUCAAACAAAAAAAUUUGCAGUCAAAUUCUACGAGCAAGAUUAACGUUAAAAAACGAUGAGGGUGGUCAGAGUCUUUGAGCACUAUAUAAAGCACGAGGAAGAUGACCAAAAUCACAAACUCAAACACAGCUUCAAGUUUCAAGCUUUUCUUCUUCCUCUCUCUCUCUCUCUCUCUUAGUUUCGGUGACUUGUUUUGGAUAUCAAAGCAAACCCAGAAGCAAAAACUAGAUGGAAGGUGCAAGGAGUGCUAUGAUCAACGGUGGGAACUUGUCUCAGAGGAUUUCUGGCCGUCUGAUCCCCAAGAGGGGUCAGGUGAAGAUGGCCAUAGUUGGGAUUCUGCUUCACUCUGUUUCUUCUAUGUUCUCUCACCGUCGUGGUGGUGCUGAUGCUCCUCAUCAUUUCUCUUAGAUGUUUUGUCUGUGUGGGGAUUUCUAGAUGAGUGGUUGCAGAGUUUGAGCUUCUGUUUUGUGCAUCAAAGGUUGUACAAAGUUCUAAACUUUCAUCACAAACACUAGCUUACUACACAUUAAAGGGUGCAGAGAAUUACUUAUCAGAGAUGGAGAGUUCCACAGCCAAUGCCACUUCCGGGAGAAUGGUGAACGCCGGAGACUUUUCGCGUCGGUGUCAUGCGCGGCGCCCUAUUCCGAAGAGGGGUCAAGUGAAGAUAGGGAUAGUGGUAGGAUUGGCAAACUCAGUUGCUUCUAUCUUCACUCCUCAGCGUUGAUCCAUGAACAAGCAGCAUUCUUCUAGUUAACUCGUAACUUGUGAAGAUGCCUAGCUGCAGAUAGCUUUUGCCUCUUGAUUUUCCCUUCUUGUUUUUUUUUUCGGAAAAGAUUUGAGCUUCAUGUACUGGAUCUUAAAGAGUUUGUAUAUUGUAGAUUUUUGCAUCAGAUAUGAAAUGGAGUUCGUAUUCUAUCUCUUUUGUUCACAACUUGGCUCGGAUCGGUAUUCAAUCUCAAUUAAUUAACAUCUAGGAUUAAGAAGCAUUUCAAGCUAAUUGAAACCCGAACCCCAAAAGAACAAAUUUAUCAAAUUAAAGUAACGCGUUGUCGCCCCAAAUGGACAGUCACAUAGGAGCUAAUAUCGCGCCUACCUGACUAGGCAUUGGGCAGAACAUGUAAUACUGUCAAAGGCAAAGGAAACACCAUAAACUUAAGAAAAAUUUCUAUAAUUUGUAUGUAAGAGAGGGAGCGUAGUCAUCAUCAGACUCAUGAACCGAUUUCCACACUACGUUGAUCGAUAUAUUCAAGCCUCAUAAUGACCUUUAUUUUAGGGAUAAUGACCUAAUGCACAAAAACAACAAAAUUAAAACCCACUUGAAUGAAAAUCUGUUUUUAUGCCCAUUUCAAUUAAUAUUACACAAAUAAUUAUUAUACUCUCUCAAUUACCUUUUCUGAUCUCUCUUUUUACCCACACAAACCUCAUCCUUCUCUCUCUCUCUCUNNNNNNNNNNNNNNNNNNNNACCACACUCUCUCUCUCUCUCUCUCUCUCUCUCUCUCUCUCUCUCUCUCUCUCUCUCAUCCACGAGCACAAGGAACACAACGUCUCAAUUCCGUCAGAUCCAUGAUGACCACGACGACGAGGACGUCUCUCAGUUCCGGUGCGGCAACAUCCGGAUUCAUAUCUCAUGUCGGCCGACGAUGACGCAAUCAUAGAUCGAACGCUCAGUUUUGAGCGAUGCGAGCGAAUAAGAAGCCGGAGAUGACCGGGUCGGAGGUCUUCAAAACAAAGCCUGCAUUCAGAUCUCUACAAAAGCAGAGAAUCAAACUUCGACGUUUGAUUCCUUCCCAGAGACUGAGACCUCGUCGCUCGUCGCUCUGGCGCUCUACGCUCGCCAGUCAUUGCUCAACGCUCGGCCUAACUGAAGCAGAUCUGGUCCUGAGCCUCCUCCCAAGCGCUGACGACAAAUGUAGUAGUGAUUUUUUGUUGUUAAACUACUCUCUCUCUCUCUCUGUGGAAACUACUCUCUCCCAUCAAGCAUCGCCGACGAUGACGUCGGUCGAGAUCGAGGACGCAUCUCGACAAUGACGCACCACUGCUAUGGCCGUAGUCGAGCCUAUGCAUGAUCUUGUGGUCGUCCACAAUUUUUACGAUGAAGAUAGAGACAAGGUGAUAUCUUUUGAUAUAUUUCUUCUUAUUGGUCAGUAAACUGUUUAUUAGAAGUUUAUUGCCUUCCAGUAAAAGUUUACUGCCCCCAGUAAAAUCCAGUAGAAGUUUACUGCUUUCCCAGUAGAAGUUUACUACCUCCUAACAAAACAUUUUUCAUCAUUACUGCCUCUCAAUAAGGUUUUAUUGACCUUAGUAGAAGUUUACUGUCCCUCAGUAAAAUCUCAGUAGAAGUUUACUGCUCCCCGGUAGAAGUUUAAUAUCUCCCAGUAAAAUAUUUUUCAUCAUUACUACCCUUCAAUAAGGUUUUAUUGACCUCAGAGAAAUUUACCGUAUUUAAGUAAAAAUUACUUGAAGAGAGGUUGAGGGGAUGGAACUGAAGCCAAAUUAACCUACUAUGUGUAUAAUCUCACCAAGAUUCAUAUGAAGAAUUAUCAUCAACCAAACCCUAAUAUCAUAAUCCCACUGCAUAUAGAUUCCCACCAUGAUCAAACAUAAUUUUUAACAUGUGUACUGUUCUUACUUCUUAGAUCUUAGGAAGAAGUACAUGCAUGAACCUCAUCAUUAGUCCUUUUCAGUACAAUUUUUAAAUUCAAUGAAUGUUGGUUUCAUCAUGUACCUUUGAAAUUAUAACAUAUGGUCCUAACUAAUUAUACAAUUCAAAUAAAACUUUCGGAUUGUGAAAUGUUUUAAGAUCACACUCUUUCUCAUGAUUUUCUUGAACUUUAUUCCUGUCCUCCACUCUCAGAAAAUAACAGCCAUAUAUUAAGGUUUCUCUAAUAAAGUAAGUCACUCCCUUCACUAAACAAAGAAAGGUUCUUCUAAACAAAGAUUACAAUAUCUUCUAAGAUUAGUGAAGGCUAUUUGAUUUUGUUCACCUUAAGUAUAAAAUAUAUAAUUGCAUGAAAUAUCCCAACUUUUACUAAUCACAUUGGAACAUUGGCUCAUAGAGAAUUGGCUUCUUUUCUGUAGUGGGAGCUUUAUGAGCAUGUGACUGAUUAGGUGGACUUGUUCAUAGCAUGUAGGAACCAAGAAUUUAAAAGGGUUAAAAUUGCCCUACUUAAGUUCUUUAACUUGAUUAACUAAACAUCUCUUAUAAUUAGGUGUGUUAAUCAUCUGUUUGUUUAUAAAUAUAUAAACAAGUAUGCCUUCAGAUACCAAACCCUAGCUAGUAGCUAGAUAUAUAGCUGAUAGUUUUGUUAAACCAGUCUAGAAAUGUGAUGUACUAAUGAAAUUGUAGCAAGUAAACUCAACAGCUGGCUAGCUAGGUCAAUAAUCAAAAUUGAAUUGCCAACUGAAAAUCAAAUUCUAUGAGCAAAGACUUGAGAAUGAGACUGUUUUUCCUUUCUCAUAACUCUUUGAACCCCUUUCUCAUAUUUGGUUAGUGUAACUGAUUAACUUAAUUGUGCCCUAUGUGCUGCAUAUGAACUAUAUGUGCUCCCUCUAUAAUUGCACACACAUCUAUUAUUAAACUAAGUAUCAGGUUCAAUUGGCAGCCUUAAUUUUGUUCAUAAUCUAAAUCAUUAGAUACGAUUUGUUGCCUUAAACACAAUCUGACAUGAUUAAUUAUAAUACUGUGUGCAUUAGGCUCAUACAUGAAAGUACAGUGAAUCAAGGUGCUUCCUCUAUCAGAUUCAGUGAAUGUAUUGGCAUUGCUCCAUAAUUGUACUUGAGAAUAAUAUAUAUGAACGACGGGAUAAACACAGACUCAGAUAACUAGCAUUUCAUGUCAAUAAUUUGUCUUCUAUUCUUGUACUUGUUUUCUAACACAUAAGAAAAUUAGAUACUCUAAUAAUGUAGAAGAUUAAUUUAGUUCCGUACAAAUUAUUAGAAGAUAAGAACACUAGCUGAUUGUCUAUAAGUUCGAUACAAAAUCAUCGUAUAGUUAAUUUGACACAUCAAACAUAAAAAUGAACAAUUUUAGAUCGUCGAAACUAGAUCUCGUGUACUUACUCAAAGUAGAAAAACAAUAAAUUCCAUUUUUUAUCUCUCUAUCAUAAAACUCGACUUCAGUGACAAAGACCGGUCACAUCGUAUCAAUCAUAAAAAUGAACAAUUUUAGAUAGUCGAAACUAAAUCACGUGUACCCGCUCAUAGUAGAAAAACAAUAAAUUCCACUUCCUAUCUCUCUAUCACAUCAUAUCAAUUUUAGAGAAGACGUGGGCAUGAAGAAAGAAAGAAACAAAGAAGGUUGGGUCCAUGCCAGAUGCAGAGCUAGCUUUGGCUCUAUGGGAAAAAGAUGCGCUAACAAACAAAAGAUCAGCUGCCUCUGGGAAUCUGGAUAGUAGUGCUCAGUCAAUGAGUAAGAUAGCUCUUGUUAUAAGAACCAAUUUGACCUCGUGCUUAAUUUGUUAUAGUUAUCCCACUAGCAAUUUUCAUGAUUAAAAGUUGUUGCGGUUCUUGUUGGGAGAGUGACUUUUCAAGGUCAAGUCGCCGUGAAGAUAAGCUUUUCCGGUUGCGAAUUCAAGUUGAAAGCUUUGGCCGUUUUGGCUUUUUAUAAUGGAAACCCGACAAGACCCACAGUGUUCACAUUGAACGUGACCAAACUUGGGGGAGUCAAGAUUGUCUUGUUUUCAAACAAAAAAAUUUGCAGUCAAAUUCUACGAGCAAGAUUAACGUUAAAAAACGAUGAGGGUGGUCAGGGUCUUUGAGCCUAUAUAAAGCACGAGGAAGAUGACCAAGAAUCACAAACUCAAACACAGCUUCAAGUUUCAAGCUUUUCUUCUUCCUCUCUCUCUCUCUCUUAGUUUCAGUGACUUGUUUUGGAUAUCAAAGCAAACCCAGAAGCAAAAACUAGAUGGAAGGUGCAAGGAGUGCUAUGAUCAACGGUGGGAACUUGUCUCAGAGGAUCUCUGGCCGUCUGAUCCCCAAGAGGGGUCAGGUGAAGAUGGCCAUAGUUGGGAUUCUGCUUCACUCUGUUUCUUCUAUGUUCUCUCACCGUCGUGGUGGUGCUGAUGCUCGUCAUCUCUCUUAGCUGUUUUGUCUGUGUGGGGAUUUCUAGAUGAGUGGUUGCAGAGUUUGAGCUUUUGUUUUGUGCAUCAAAGGUUGUACAAAGUUUUGUAGUUUACAGAUUAGUGAAUUGUAGUUGGUUAUCUUUGGUUUUGAUCUAGUAUUUCGAUCAACAAUCUCGAUUGUCUCUAUGUAACUUCCAAAAUCAAAGAGUGAAUCUUUAGACUGAAAUUCAUGUGGGUUUUACUAUUUAGCGCAUCAUUUGUUGCACAAGAAGCAUUUAACUGGCAUUGUGAUCUUUAAAUCUAAACAAAAUGGCACCCAAUUCCACAUAGGGAGAACAAAGUUGAAGAAAGCCUAAAUCCAACUCAAGAGACUUGGCCUUCUAACAUGUAUAUAAGUAUAAGCCUUGGAAGAUUAGUUGGGAAAGGAAUAAGUAGUUGUGUUGCUUCAACCUAUUCUUGAGUUGUCUCUGCCAAACACAAGCGUGGUAGCCCAGUUCACAGCAACAUAGAACCUGUUCCUCCAACUUACAACCCGGGUAAGAUAAGCAGAGCGCCAGAUGAACCAGCUAACAAAUCCAGCAUGGGAUAUGCCCUUUGAAUCCUGCAACAAAAUUGUAGUUAGAAGUUUAAUUGAAAGCCUAGUUUUUGGUUUUGAAGCACAUUCAUCAUCGUUUAGAGUAACAGUUUUGAUGAACACUGACCUUGGAUUUGCGCAGAUCAACGAGUGCCUUAUAACUCCCAACGGAUGCCAUGCUUCCGAGGUGCUUGUAGACAAAAGGUUCUCCCAGAGAGAUAUCUUUUGCACUCAUGGCCUUACCUGCCUCCUUCCCAAUCCUGUUAAACAACUCCACCAGAAAUUUUCCUUGCCUUUCUGCCACCUAUUUCAGACAAUGUGAAAUGAAUUGUAAUUAGGAGUUUGAAAAUAUACAGUCUUGAACUUGUUGAGCACUGAGCGAAAGAAAUGCCAGAACAAUAACAAUGUCACCCCAAGCAGUUAGAUUUUGUUUUUCCAUUUUCAUAGGGAACAAAAAGUAGAGCUUCUCAACCAGAUAUGAAAAUCCAAGAUGGUCUUGCAGUUGCCUCCAUCUGUUUUAUCAGGCUUUUGACAGUAGCAAGACAGAUAGCACAGACAUAUAACAAUCUUGCUAGCAAUGCAUUAUUCGUAGAGCACAAAGCUGGUUCUAACCUGAGCUAAAGCUGGAAGCACUGGCAUCCCAGUCUCUUCAAGAAAACCUGCGCAAUCUCCAAGUGCAAACACAUCUUCCACAGAAGGAACUCGCAUCCACCCAUCGACACCAACCCUGCAUCAGUCAAUAGUAAUUGUUAAAGAUCGUUAAUCCAACAGAAUUCAGUUGUCCACCAAUGAAGACAAGAUAAGAGAAAGAUAUGCUGGUGCAUAUACCUUCCACCAGGGGACUUGGGAAGAUUAAGUGAUUUCACAAACUGUGAGGGACCAACCCCAGUAGACCAGACCAAAAGGCCAUAUGGAACAUCAGUUCCAUCAUUAAGAACUAUCUUCUUGGCAUGCACCUCUUUCACAACACCUCGCAUAAGGUUAACACCACACUAGCGCAAAAAGUUCAUAUUUCAUAUUAGGUCUCCAAACUAACAAAAAAUGUCAACCAGGAAACUGAAUGCAAAUGAACUAACCUUGGUCAGGUGGUUCGUUGCGUACUGCCUCAAUCCAACAUCAAAGGAUGACAGUAUUUCAUUUGCCUGUUCCAGUAAAUCACAUAAUUAUGAUCAGUGACAAAAUAAUUUUUUCUUGGUAAAAAGUCAUAUAUAGGAGUGAAUGAGUAACAAGUACCUCAAUGAGGGUGACUUUGAUGUAAUCCUUAACAUGAGUAUACCGUUCACGGACAUCUUUCAUGAUGAAAUCACUCAAUUCGCCACUGAACUCCACCCCGGUAGGGCCACCUCCAAUAACAACACAAUGCAGGAGGCGUUUCCUUUCUUCCUCAGAUAUGCCUGAAAAUGAAUGUGAUAAGAUGAUUUAGAGAGUAAAUCCAAUGUUUGACAUUUUUAUGUAGAGAUUGAGGAGGCUCACCUGGAUUUUCAGAGAGCAUCAAGUUCAAGAGAAGCUUCUUUCUAAUUUCUUGGGCAUGAUACACUUCUCGGAGGAAAAAUGCAUGCUCCGCAACACCUUUGAUACCAAAUGUCAAGGGCUCAGAUCCAGCUGCUAUGACAAGCUUGUCAUAGGCAACUCUGAAUCUGUAAGGAUCACUAGGCAAAUCACCAUGGCCGACUGUCUCACAGUACACCUAUAUGAAAUACGAAGAUCAAGUUUAUCUGCUGCUAUGACCAAUCAACAGAGAAGCUGUUAUUCCAUCUUCCUUAUUGUACAGUCUAAAUAUUAAUAAUGUUCCAUGGAAAAAAGUAAAUUGUCCAUUUUGAAAAAAUCAGCUUCUGAUUUCAGAUCAAACUUCAACUUGAAGAACAUACAUCUUGUCUCAAAUUGAGCCUAGUAUGUAUUACUUCACUAGAACUCCAUUAGGAGAGACUUUUGACAUCAGAACUUAUAUUGUUACUUCAUUUCAAAACCCGAUAUCUGAGUCAGAUUUACAGCACCAUUAAAUCAUGAAAGAAAUACAUGGGGAACAUCAUUGUGUUAAUGAAAUUAGUGAGAAAAUAAUCUUGAAUUACAUGCUAUUUACGACACUGCACAGAUAAACCUGAAACCAAAAUUUUGAUGAACAAAUCUUGACUAGACAAAGUAAGAAUAGAAUUUGAUUACCUCAUGUUUCUGUGUGUCAAUACUAAAGCAAUUAGCCAGAUAGAAGUAUGAAUUGGGAUUCGUUGCUAAUGCAGACUGUAUACGACUGACAGGUUCAGCAACUGAACGGAAUUCCAAAGUACCAACACAAGUUGAAGGAAGCAAAGGAGUAAAAACCAUGUGAUUACGCGGAGAUAUGCAAACAACAUCAUAAAUCUUGGUGUCUAGUCCCUUAAGGAAUCGACAGGCAGCCCAGCCAGUACCAAGGACAACCACUCUUGGCUUUUCACCUGGCUUAGUUGCCUGUAGUCCUGGAUACUUGGGAUCAUUACACUCUGAAUCAGACUCCUCAACAAUAAUUUCGGCAGAAGGAUAUUUAUAACUUGGGGUUGUCCUUAGUCCCCUGCUCCAAUAGCUACUGUGAUUCACCUUUGGAAUGCUGGAAAGGUAUGAGAAAUUUCUGUUUCUGGCAUCGUUCUCAAGCGAAGGUAAGGAACAAUAUUUGCGUGUGGAUGCUCCCUCAGAGAACAUAUCCUUCUCACUUCUGUGACCACCAUAGGCACCUCCAGACCUUCUGUAGCUGCUCCUAGCAGUCCUAGCAAUCCUUUCAAAUGCCAUUGUGAGAGUAUCAGUCCCUCAAUCAAGACUUAUAUGUACUCUCUGAACUAUCUAAACGGAAUCAAAUUCUUGGUUGCUCAACCUGUGGAAUUGAACAGUAGACAAAGAAGUGAGCAAUGAGAAUAGUAAACAGAGAGGUUAACAUUUGAUGGCACACAUAUUUAUAGGUAGCUGUAUGUACCACUCCAAAAAAUGUGGAGAGGUCAUGACACUAGGCAGGACAAAUUAAGAUCUAGUCCAUUCUAAAACAAAGCAAGUUCAUAAUGGACAACGAUUGCUUCCAAGAUUAAUUGACAAGAAAACAAAAACCAACAUAGCUUUGGUCAUCAGUCGAUGGCAGAAACAAAGAGAAAGCUCUUGUAAAUUUAGCAGCUAAUAAAAAGCUAAAAAUGACAGUAUCUUUUUACUUCUACAUUGCCAAAGGCACAUAAUAAUCGACAAACCCAACUCAUCAUUCUUUCUACUACAGUGAUUAUUAUGUCAAAUUUAGAAUCUCAGCCAUCACAAUCAUGAAUACUCUAAUGUAUAAAGCUAGGCUCAAUUAAAUGGCAACAACCAAAAUAUCUAAGCAGAAAGCUCUCUGCUUUAUAUGAAAAAUCAACAUGAAAGACAGAAAUUGGUAAACCCAGAACAAGAAAAGAACUUUCAAGAUCAAAGACCAAUCUGCAGUAGAAAAAACCCAGAUCUUAUACACACCCAAUAAAAAGAAGCAGAAAAUGCAUACAAAAUGAGGAAUACAAAACCAUUGAAAAGCAAUGGAACAUGAACAUAUAACACCAAUAAAAAUGUGAUCUUUAUGAAUAAAAAAGUUAUCAUUAUGAAGCUGAAGGGUUUAGAAGAUUUACUGGGGUUUUGGUUUACACAGAGCUGCGUGAUCUCCAAGAUUAUGGGAGUGUAGCUUUUUUUAAUCCAAAUGUGAAAUGCCAACAGAUCGCUGAAGACUUGGUGUUUGUAAAAAAAAAAUUGAGAAUUGCAAAAAUGGUGAGAGUGGGGAGUUGAAAGGAGCCAACUUGGGGAGCAAGAAAGUUGGUUUGUUGAGAUUUGAGAAGUGCUUUUUGAUCAAGUAGUGGUCAAAAAAAGUUGGUGAUGAUAAAAAAAAAAACUGGAAGAGAAAAUUACAAAGGGUGUGUGUGUUGGUUCUGUUUGUGUGGGAAGGAAGUUCAAGCAUCAAGCAUAUGCCUUGUCUGGCAUUUUGGUAAAUCAGAGUUGUCUGAAAAGAGAACACAGAGCAGGCUUGGCAAUUGCAGUGUCGUUUUUGUGUGGUUGAAUCAGUAAAACAGGUUUUUGAAUUAGCUGCAGCCUCCACCUGUAUGUGUGUAAGACCUGUUUGGCUCCCUUAAACCCUGAAGCUCUCCCCUAAAACCCUCCUAAAACCCUAGUCAAUGGUGAAUGAGACAAAGAGUGAAGAUUUGCCAAAUAUCUAGUAGGCGGCUGUAAUUUCAUUCCAUUUUCAUUUCAUUCGCAUUUAUGAUCAAUUAUUUCCUAUUUUGGGGACUCAAUGAGUUUUGGACUGAGUUUGGUCAGAAAAUUUAGAGAUGGGCCUACGUGUCUGAUCCAGGUCUUUUGUGUCACAUCCAAAUGACUUCAGCAGCUACAUUGAGUUUGUUUUGCUUGUCAAAUUACGUUUGAGAAACUCAAACAUGCUUUUGCUUUUGCAAUGUUUGUUUGAUCGGCAAGAUAAUUCUUUUAAGGAUUAGGCAACUUGUUAGUGACGAUAUUAAACCAAAAAAAAA
rnacentral:lncRNA from 1 species